GGUUCAAUGGUCUAGUGGUUAUGAUUUCUGUCUCACAUGCUCGUGAACACAGAAGGUCUCCAGUUCGAUCCUGGAUUGAACCA
rnacentral:tRNA from 1 species